GCGACAUCAGGUCAGGCGGGGA
rnacentral:rRNA from 1 species